UAGAGUUUGAUCAUGGCUCAGAUUGAACGCUGGCGGCAGGCCUAACACAUGCAAGUCGAGCGGUAGCACAGGAAGCUUGCUCUCUGGGUGACGAGCGGCGGACGGGUGAGUAAUGUCUGGGAAACUGCCUGAUGGAGGGGGAUAACUACUGGAAACGGUAGCUAAUACCGCAUAACCUCGCAAGAGCAAAGAGGGGGACCUUCGGGCCUCUUGCCAUCAGAUGUGCCCAGAUGGGAUUAGCUAGUAGGUGAGGUAAUGGCUCACCUAGGCGACGAUCCCUAGCUGGUCUGAGAGGAUGACCAGCCACACUGGAACUGAGACACGGUCCAGACUCCUACGGGAGGCAGCAGUGGGGAAUAUUGCACAAUGGGCGCAAGCCUGAUGCAGCCAUGCCGCGUGUGUGAAGAAGGCCUUCGGGUUGUAAAGCACUUUCAGCGGGGAGGAAGGCGGUAAGGUUAAUAACCUUGUCGAUUGACGUUACCCGCAGAAGAAGCACCGGCUAACUCCGUGCCAGCAGCCGCGGUAAUACGGAGGGUGCAAGCGUUAAUCGGAAUGACUGGGCGUAAAGCGCACGCAGGCGGUCUGUUAAGUUGGAUGUGAAAUCCCCGGGCUUAACCUGGGAACUGCAUUCAAAACUGACAGGCUAGAGUCUUGUAGAGGGGGGUAGAAUUCCAGGUGUAGCGGUGAAAUGCGUAGAGAUCUGGAGGAAUACCGGUGGCGAAGGCGGCCCCCUGGACAAAGACUGACGCUCAGGUGCGAAAGCGUGGGGAGCAAACAGGAUUAGAUACCCUGGUAGUCCACGCUGUAAACGAUGUCGAUUUGGAGGUUGUGCCCUUGAGGCGUGGCUUCCGGAGCUAACGCGUUAAAUCGACCGCCUGGGGAGUACGGCCGCAAGGUUAAAACUCAAAUGAAUUGACGGGGGCCCGCACAAGCGGUGGAGCAUGUGGUUUAAUUCGAUGCAACGCGAAGAACCUUACCUACUCUUGACAUCCAGAGAAUUUGCUAGAGAUGCCUUAGUGCCUUCGGGAACUCUGAGACAGGUGCUGCAUGGCUGUCGUCAGCUCGUGUUGUGAAAUGUUGGGUUAAGUCCCGCAACGAGCGCAACCCUUAUCCUUUGUUGCCAGCGAUUCGGUCGGGAACUCAAAGGAGACUGCCGGUGAUAAACCGGAGGAAGGUGGGGAUGACGUCAAGUCAUCAUGGCCCUUACGAGUAGGGCUACACACGUGCUACAAUGGCGUAUACAAAGAGAAGCGACCUCGCGAGAGCAAGCGGACCUCAUAAAGUACGUCGUAGUCCGGAUUGGAGUCUGCAACUCGACUCCAUGAAGUCGGAAUCGCUAGUAAUCGUAGAUCAGAAUGCUACGGUGAAUACGUUCCCGGGCCUUGUACACACCGCCCGUCACACCAUGGGAGUGGGUUGCAAAAGAAGUAGGUAGCUUAACCUUCGGGAGGGCGCUUACCACUUUGUGAUUCAUGACUGGGGUGAAGUCGUAACAAGGUAACCGUAGGGGAACCUGCGGUUGGAUCACCUCCUUA
rnacentral:rRNA from 1 species